GAUGAACGCUGGCGGCGUGCCUAAUACAUGCAAGUCGAGCGAACAGAUGAGGAGCUUGCUCCUCUGACGUUAGCGGCGGACGGGUGAGUAACACGUGGAUAACCUACCUAUAAGACUGGGAUAACUUCGGGAAACCGGAGCUAAUACCGGAUAAUAUAUUGAACCGCAUGGUUCAAUAGUGAAAGACGGUUUUGCUGUCACUUAUAGAUGGAUCCGCGCCGCAUUAGCUAGUUGGUAAGGUAACGGCUUACCAAGGCAACGAUGCGUAGCCGACCUGAGAGGGUGAUCGGCCACACUGGAACUGAGACACGGUCCAGACUCCUACGGGAGGCAGCAGUAGGGAAUCUUCCGCAAUGGGCGAAAGCUUGACGGAGCAACGCCGCGUGAGUGAUGAAGGUCUUCGGAUCGUAAAACUCUGUUAUUAGGGAAGAACAAAUGUGUAAGUAACUAUGCACGUCUUGACGGUACCUAAUCAGAAAGCCACGGCUAGCUACGUG
rnacentral:rRNA from 1 species